GAUGAACGCUGGCGGCGUGCCUAAUACAUGCAAGUCGAGCGAACAGACGAGGAGCUUGCUCCUCUGAUGUUAGCGGCGGACGGGUAAGUAACACGUGGAUAACCUACCUAUAAGACUGGGAUAACUUCGGGAAACCGGAGCUAAUACCGGAUAACAUGUUGAACCGCAUGGUUCAACAGUGAAAGACGAUCUUGCUGUCACUUAUAGAUGGAUCCGCGCCGCAUUAGCUAGUUGGUAAGGUAACGGCUUACCAAGGCAACGAUGCGUAGCCGACCUGAGAGGGUGAUCGGCCACACUGGAACUGAGACACGGUCCAGACUCCUACGGGAGGCAGCAGUAGGGAAUCUUCCGCAAUGGGCGAAAGCCUGACGGAGCAACGCCGCGUGAGUGAAGAAGGUCUUCGGAUCGUAAAACUCUGUUAUUAGGGAAGAACAAAUGUGUAAGUAACUAUGCACGUCUUGACGGUACCUAAUCAGAAAGCCACGGCUAACUACGUG
rnacentral:rRNA from 1 species